rnacentral:rRNA from 1 species
CCCUUAGAUGUUCUGGGCCGCACGCGUGCUACACUGAGUGGAUCAGCGGGUCAGGUUGCGCGAAAGCGUUUCCUAAUCUUGAAAUCCGCUCGUGAUGGGGAUUGACGGUUGCAAUUUUCCGUCAUGAACGAGGAAUACCUUGUAAGCGCGGGUCAUCAUCCCGCGCUGAAUACGUCCCUGCCCUUUGUACACACCGCCCGUCGCUCCUACCGAUUGAGUGGUCCGGUGAGGCUUUGGGAUCUGAGCAAAGAGAGCGUUUCGCUCGUUUUGCUCGGAAAACUCAGUCGAACCUUAUCAUUUAGAGGAAGGAGAAGUCGUAACA